rnacentral:rRNA from 1 species
ACACGAACCGGACAAACGUUAUUCGGAAUUAUUGGGCUUAAAGGGUGCGUAGGCGGCGCGGUAAGUGAGGUGUGAAAGCCCACGACUCAAUCGUGGAAUUGCGCUUCAUACUGCCGUGCUAGAGGGAGACAGAGGUAAGCGGAACUGAUGGUGGAGCGGUGAAAUGCGUUGAUAUUAUCAGGAACACCGGUGGCGAAGGCGGCUUACUGGGUCUCUUCUGACGCUGAGGCACGAAAGCUAGGGUAGCGAACGGGAUUAGAAACCCGAGUAGUCC